GAUGAACGCUAGCUACAGGCUUAACACAUGCAAGUCGAGGGGCAGCAUGAACAUAGCUUGCUAUGUUUGAUGGCGACCGGCGCACGGGUGCGUAACACGUAUCCAAUCUACCCAUGGCUCGGGGAUAGCCUUUCGAAAGAAAGAUUAAUACCCGAUGGUCUCGGUUUAAGGCAUCUUAGACUGUGUAAAGAUUUAUCGGCGAUGGAUGAGGAUGCGUCUGAUUAGGUAGAUGGCGGGGUAACGGCCCACCAUGCCUACGAUCAGUAGGGGUUCUGAGAGGAAGGUCCCCCACAUUGGAACUGAGACACGGUCCAAACUCCUACGGGAGGCAGCAGUGAGGAAUAUUGGUCAAUGGACGAGAGUCUGAACCAGCCAAGUAGCGUGAAGGAUGACUGCCCUAUGGGUUGUAAACUUCUUUUGUUUGGGAAUAAAGUGCGGGACGUGUCCCGUUUUGUAUGUACCAUUCGAAUAAGCAUCGGCUAAUUCCGUGCCAGCCGCCGCCGUAAUAC
rnacentral:rRNA from 1 species